AAAUUGGGGUGUAAAUUUGACCCUCAAAUCUGAACUUGUGGUAUAAGUGAUUGGUUGUUUUGGGUUUAAAAAGGAUGGGGCUAGUAUGAAUGGGAAUUUUUCUAGGCAUUUAAAGAGAGAGAGAGAGAGUAAUUUUUCUUUUUUUUUUUUAAAGUCGUUUUUGGAUUGACAAGCCAUUUGGUCUUGUCAUAUAUAUCUAAAGAUGUUAUCCUAGAUUUGAGUUAUGAUUUGAUUCAAUUGUAGGACGCCUAGAGAGGUUCUUGUAGACUGUCGACCCAAAACAAAACUGAAAAACUCUUAAUUUUUUGACUGAAAUAUCAAGUUAAAUCCAAUUUUUUGGGUUUUAAAAAAAAAGUUUUAAAUAACUUUCAACAACGGAUCUCUUGGUUCUCGCAUCGAUGAAGAACGCAGCGAAAUGCGAUACGUAAUGUGAAUUGCAGAUUUUGUGAAUCAUCGAAUCUUUGAACGCAUAUUGCACUCUUUGGUAUUCCGAAGAGUAUGCUUGUUUCAGUAUCAUGAAAAACGUCACAAGUUUUUAUUUGGUUUUUUAAUUAAGAAGCCAGAAAAAAAAGUGUGGAAUUGGAUUUGCGAUUCGAAUAUAUAGGAUUGCUAAUCUGAAAUAAAUUUCAUGAAGCCAAAAUGCUUUUAAUCUUUGCUUAAUAGUUUUGCUUUGCAAAUCUUUUGCAUGGAUUUAAGCAAAAGAGUGGAUUGAUUUUACGGAAAAGGGAAAUCUCAUUUUUUGAUCUGAAAUCAAGUAGG
rnacentral:misc_RNA from 1 species